rnacentral:rRNA from 1 species
GAUCCUGGCUCAGGAUGAACGCUGGCGGCGUGCCUAACACAUGCAAGUCGAACGAAGCAAUUAAAAUGAAGUUUUCGGAUGGAUUUUUAAUUGACUGAGUGGCGGACGGGUGAGUAACGCGUGGAUAACCUGCCUCACACUGGGGGAUAACAGUUAGAAAUGACUGCUAAUACCGCAUAAGCGCACAGUACCGCAUGGUACGGUGUGAAAAACUCCGGUGGUGUGAGAUGGAUCCGCGU